UAAUUCGUAAAUAAUAUAAUAACAUCACCACGAUACCUAAGUAAACGUAUAUUACGUUUAUCAGAACAAAGCGAUAAAAUACGUAUAAAUUCGUUAGCUUUAAUCGCGAAAUAUACAAGUGUACAUAUAUACGUAUAAUAACAUUGACACAAUUAACUAAUACGUAGGUAUGUGAUUGAUAUUUACGUAUGCAUGUGUAGGUACAAGUACAAAUAAUAGACAAAUUAAUAUAAAACGGUUACGUAAACAAUACAACAAAUAGUACACUAUGGCGGGUGUCAGGAGCGCGUCCGUGAAUAUUUUUCCGGAUUACGAGGGGGGGGGGGGGGGGGGGGGUUUAAA